rnacentral:piRNA from 1 species
GUCGUGAUGAGGGCAGAGGCCAUGGU